GAUGAACGCUAGCUACAGGCUUAACACAUGCAAGUCGCGGGGCAGCAUGGGGGUUGCUUGCAACUCCCGAUGGCGACCGGCGCACGGGUGAGUAACGCGUAUCCAACCUGCCCUUCACCACGGGAUAACCCGGCGAAAGUCGGACUAAUACCGUAUGUUGUCCAUUGACGGCAUCCGAUUUGGACGAAAGGCUUUGCGGUGAAGGAUGGGGAUGCGUCCGAUUAGCCAGACGGCGGGGUAACGGCCCACCGUGGCUACGAUCGGUAGGGGUUCUGAGAGGAAGGUCCCCCACACUGGAACUGAGACACGGUCCAGACUCCUACGGGAGGCAGCAGUGAGGAAUAUUGGUCAAUGGGCGUAAGCCUGAACCAGCCAAGUAGCGUGCAGGAUGACGGCCCUAUGGGUUGUAAACUGCUUUUAUGCGGGGAUAAAGUGGCCCACGUGUGGGCUUUUGCAGAUACCGCAUGAAUAAGGACCGGCUAAUUCCGUG
rnacentral:rRNA from 1 species